rnacentral:piRNA from 1 species
UGAUCAAGUUCUUCGACUAUGUGUGCUG